AUUUUUCCCAUUAUUUUUUUCCAUUUUUUCCCAACUUUUGGGGUUUUUUAUUUUUUUGUUUUCUCUUUUUUUUUGGGGAAUUUUUCCCUUCAAUGAACAAAACUUGAGAACGAAUCCAAUAAAAACUUUGGAGCUUUAAAAUUUGGGAAUUUCGGUUUUUGGGAAGGGACCAAAAUUUGGGAUUUGGGAUUUGGGGGGGGGAAUUUGGGGCAACUCCGAGGAAAUUCAGCCCCAAACUGGGAGCACUGGGAGGGUCCCAGUUCCAAACUGGGAGCACUGGGACAGUUCCAGUUCCAUACUGGUGUUACUGGGAGGUCACUGGGAGGGUCCCAGUUCCAAACUGGGAGCACUGGGAUGGUCUCAGUUCCAUACUGGGGUUACUGGUGCCAUAC
rnacentral:lncRNA from 1 species